rnacentral:rRNA from 1 species
AGUGAACGCUGGCGGUAGGCCUAACACAUGCAAGUCGAGCGGCAGCACAGUAAGAGCUUGCUCUUACGGGUGGCGAGUGGCGGACGGGUGAGGAAUACAUCGGAAUCUACUUUUUCGUGGGGGAUAACGUAGGGAAACUUACGCUAAUACCGCAUACGACCUACGGGUGAAAGCAGGGGAUCUUCGGACCUUGCGCGAUUGAAUGAGCCGAUGUCGGAUUAGCUAGUUGGCGGGGUGAAGGCCCACCAAGGCGACGAUCCGUAGCUGGUCUGAGAGGAUGAUCAGCCACACUGGAACUGAGACACGGUCCAGACUCCUACGGGAGGCAGCAGUGGGGAAUAUUGGACAAUGGGCGCAAGCCUGAUCCAGCCAUACCGCGUGGGUGAAGAAGGCCUUCGGGUUGUAAAGCCCUUUUGUUGGGAAAGAAAAGCAGCAGGUUAAUACCCCGCUGUUCUGACGGUACCCAAAGAAUAAGCACCGGCUAACUUCGUG